CACAAAACACUCAAUGGUGCCUUUGUGUAUUUGUGGGGUGUGGUGAUUAAAAUAAAAGGUUUCCCUUAAUUGAAAUGUUCAAUUAACAUUCAAAUGAAUUCAGAUAAAACAUAAAAGGUUUAAAAAUAUAUGUUGGCUCUAUUCCUUGUUCUGUUUCUCUGCUCUUAAUGUGUGAUCCCAGGCAAGUCACUUCACCCUGUUUGCCUCAGUUUCCUUAUCUAUAAAAUGAACUGGAAAAAGAAAUCACAAACAACUCCAGCAUCUCUGCCAAGUAAACCCCCAAUAGUCAUAUAGAGUUAGACACGAAUGAAAACAACUGAACAAGAAGAGCAACAACUGGAAAACUUGGCUGUUGUCCAUGAAUGCUCUCCUUCCUCUUUUCUGCUUCCUGUUUCCUUGAUUUCUUUCAGGUCCCAGCUAAAAUCUCAUCCUCUAUGGGAAGACUGUCCCAAUCCUGCUUGAUUCUAACACCUCUGUCUUGGUCAUGUCCAGUUUAUCCUCAGUAUAGCUGGUUUGUGUACAUUUGUUUGCAUGUUGUUCCCCCCAAUCAACCUCAAGUACUGAGAAGACAACAAGUAAUCCAAUAUAGGUUAAACAUAUGCAAUUCUUUUAAACAUAUUUCCAUAUUUAUCAUGCUGCACAAGAAAAUCAGAUCAAAAGGAGAAAAAUGAGAAAGAAAACAAGCAAGCAAACAAAAACAAGAACAACAAAGGUAGCACUUGUCUGGUCUGAAGAAAAAAAAAAAGAACUUUGCUGAGAUAAACCUGAACUCUCCGAUACAUGUUCAAUCAACAAAUAGCUGUUUUCAGAGAAAUUCAAGGAUAGUCUAGAGGAAGAAAGAUGAAACUCCCUAAAGACACCCACAAUGACACUCAUCUCCAGUUCGUUCCUCAUCUCCACCUUGAUAUUUCCUGUGAUCUGUGCCGAUGAUCUCUCACUUAACAGUGGUGGUCACUGUCAGAUGUCACUGCUUGAAGAAUACGUGGUUGCUUCAUAUGAGAGUCUCAGAUUCUCUCUGGAUGACCUGGAGGUGAACAAGAAUCCCCUGCUGCAAUUGCCUCGCGAGGAGCAGGGUAUUCAGUUAGGUUGGGAAUUCCACUAAGAGAGACCUCUGUUGGAAGAUGCUUUGCUGUUCCUUGAAGCAGACCUACAGUUGCCUAACUACCCUGAAUCAUAUUCUCUGAGGCCUUCAUCAGCCACCAAUAAAGACUUCGUAAGUACUCAUUUUGUGCCAGCCACAUAUUUGCAGCCAGCUGUCAUGACUGAUGCUCCAAGCAUCCCUGGGGUAGAAUUCUCUAGCUUUACCUCCCGAGUCACAUGAAAUAUCAACUUUAAAUCUAAUCCUAAAUGGCAAUCAUUGUGAUUGGCACAAAUACGGGACAUGCACAUUACACACUAUGCAUAUAUACUCACACAAAAUGCUGGCUGGAAGUGAGAUCCUCAGCCUUUGUCACACUUAUUUGUAAGGGCUUUUAAAGGAAAAGAGCCAAUCAGGAUGUGGUUUGAUCUAAACUUCAGAGCUCUUUCACUGGCUCCAGGAGGCUUAUUAUUCUCUCUUAUUUUGGAGUGCUGGUCCACUUCAUUGAGUCUUCUUGUCUAACUUUUCCAUUUUCUAACUAGAAUAUUUUCAUAUUGGAAAUGUCACCAUUUAUCUGGAUAGGGAACUGUGGAUGAAAACUAAAUUGAGAAUUAUGGAAGAAUUCCAUACUUCAGUGAAGUAAGGUGAGGCAGGUGAGAGAAAAAAAAAAAAGGUUUCUGAGCCCAAAAAACUAAAGAAUCAAGAAUGGAAUCAAUUCAUUCAUUGCAGCCAGGCCCCCAAAGUCCUUGACAUUCAGGUCACUAAUCAGCAUUGCAAAUAGCCUCUUUUUUUCUUCCCACAAUUAUUAGGUCAAGUUCAUUUGCAUUCUGCCUCUGGGGACUAAAUAAGGGACCCAGAUUGAUAUAACAGCAUUUGCAUCAUGACACAAUGACAUUUGCGUGAUACUAUAACGUACAAUAUAGUACAUCACCCAAUGGCAUCGAAAUGCAGACAGGCUGGGUGGGUAGUAAAGCAUGUCACCCCAGUCUGUUCACUUAUCUUUAAACUGGAUUAGCUACUCAGAUACUCAGUUCAUGUUAACAAAUGAGAGGAGUGAAAAGAGGAAAGAACAUUUUAAAACCAUGAUACAAAUUAGAUGAUGGCGUCUGACCCGCAAUAGAAUACAAGUAUAUAUAUGUAUUAUGUAUAUAGAUAAAAUAUGAUUUUUCUUGA